ACAGCGAGGAGGCAAUAAAAAAAAAAAGUCCCCGGUAGACUGGACGGCUCUUGAACUCCACAACUUUUGCAUAUUACCAAAUUCAGCUAUUCCCGGAAUAAGGAGAACCGCUAUUUGCGAAGACGGCAAAGGAUCCUCCUCGUUCUCAUAAGAACAUUUCCCUGAAGCCUGGCGUGUGUUAUGUGAGCACAGAAGGGGCAGCCAGGAGCAGUGGGCAGCCCUUUCCUUUGGCACCCGGGGAACCAAUUCCAAGUGGAUAUCCAUGUCGUGGUCAGGGACAGGACAGGAGAGUGUUGUGCGAGUUUUUUUUUUUUAUUUGGGGUCCUUCUUGAUGUGCGUGGAAGCCCAUGUGAGCAUGGGGAGAACAUGCACAGUGCACACAGACGGGCCCCUGCACACCGACCGGCCUGUGGAGAACAUGCAACGCCU